UACGUAGGGUGCAAGCGUUGUCCGGAAUUAUUGGGCGUAAAGAGCUCGUAGGCGGUUUGUUACGUCGGAUGUGAAAACCCGAGGCUUAACCUCGGGCCUGCAUUCGAUACGGGCAGACUCGAGUGUGGUAGGGGAGACUGGAACUCCUGAUGUAGCGGUGAAAUGCGCAGAUAUCAGGAAGAACACCGGUGGCGAAGGCGGGUCUCUGGGCCACUACUGACGCUGAGGAGCGAAAGCGUGGGGAGCGAACAGG
rnacentral:rRNA from 1 species